UGCCUGUGCUUUUAUAUACUUCCGCAAGUAAAUUAACCGUGUGUCCACGCAUGCAAUUUAUUUAAUAAACUUCAUGCGCCGCCUGCGCAGUGAAUUCAAGGUUCGCGCUCAGCUGGGAGUCCGUUUAAACGACCGUCACCGAGCGUGACUAGUUGUCACGUUUUUCGUUGUCUUUCCUCAGCCACGGGAACUGUUCUCUGUGUUCAUAAGUGUAAAUACGAGCACCGAAACACGGCAAGUGUGUACGCAUGAUCUCGUACAGAUUAAACAGUGUCGUUUCGCGAGCCAACAGCGGAUGGUCCAUUAAGCGAUGAACGAACAUGCGCGAGCGAAUUUAUUGCUACUGCUCAUAUUGAUAUAUUUUUUUCUGUCUUUUAUAGGGGGGGGGGGGCGGAAAAAAUUGAAGCCCGAUGCACUGCAUUCAAGCACCACUGCAAAUUCAAGUGCCUGCAUGCGAAAGUAAUUAAAGGGAUCUAAUGAUUAUGAUACAACAUAAAUUAUAUGUUGCAUGCUUUAUUUGAGCUUCGUGUAACGGUUGCAACUGGUUAUAAAGCGACUCGAAAACAUUUUACAAUGGUAGUAACACUCUGAAACUAACUCGCGAUUUCGUAGGUCUGGCUAAAAACAAAAAUUGAUAAAGCUACAUAAGUUCUCUAAAUUUAUCGCAUAACGUAAACACAUCGCAAAUCAGCGAGUCAGCUUAGUGUGAUGUAAUGUAAACAAAUCGCGAUACGCGCCGCGACCAACUACAUCCGAACAACUUGAGGCAAUACUUUACCCUGCAGGGCAUGUGCAGUUCAAUUCUGCUAUUUUUGUCUCGUAGGUAAAAUUCAAAUCGACUCGGUGUGGGUCUUUACUAAGCGCGGACGACUGCAGCACGAAUGCGAUAACGUGCACAGGACCGUCACAGCAGCAGGCGGAAGCGACGGCACUACACUCAAUGAUGUGGCCCGCCGCAACGACUUGGUCGCCUUCGACGAGACACCUGACACCGUCCCUAACAUGGUUGAGAAUUGUGCUUAGAGGCAAGGGUGCUGUAAAACGGAAAAAGAACGCAUGUUAACCUCACAACACGUUGACAGGAGGCGAGCGCACAUGGUGUGGUCGCGUUAAGCAAAUGCUUUUCGCAUCAAUACACUAAAAACGUACAGCGAUUUACUUUACGAAUUUCCGUUACAAAAAUGAAAGAAUAACAGGUUGAGACGUUACUAACCAUCGAACAAACCGUGCUCGUCAACAUCCAUCGUUAUUUCGCGAACUACGAUCGCUGCACACUGCGGCUGGAGCGGCGACGGGCCACCGGUAUCCACACUUAGGAGCUUCGUCACCUCGCCGCUAGGAGCCGACUCUGUUCGAUCUCGAGGCCAAUGGCCGUGGCUCUUCGCCGUAGCCGACGUGAACCCGGUGAGCCAGACGACGAGUUUGACAUGCCGGAUGACCAUUUUCGGCGGCGUUUUCGCCUCUCGAAGGGAACGUUGUGGUUGUGCGAGGAACUGGCGGGGGAAUUAGAAGCGGAGCUAGCGACGGGACUGUCGGUGGAGCGGAAAUUCUUCUGUGCGCUGCGCUUCUUUGCCACCGGGAGCUUCCAAGCGUCCGUUGGGAGUGAGGAGAGGAUCCGUGUGUCGCAAUCGACGGUCAGCGAGUGCGUGCGACGGGUGGCAGAGGCUGUCGUGAACGCAGGGGCCCGCAACAAGUGGGUCCAUUUUCAAAAGACAGCCGUGAAGGAGGGUUUCCUUCGGCGCGGCGCUAUACCCGACGUCAUAGGAUGCGUCGACGGCAGCCUCGUAGCCAUUAUCGCCCCCAAGGGUGAGCGCAAGGCUACGUUCAUGUGCCGCUAGGUUAACUACGCCCUCAACUGCAUGUUCAUCUGCGACGCAGACAUGAAGAUAUUGGCCUUGGACUCUCUGCGACCGGGGUCGGGCCAUGACGUUUUCGUCUGGCGGACGACAUGGUUGCGCCGGCGGUUCCAAGCGGGGGGCAUGGUGAAUCCCGGGGAAUACCUCCUCGAUCAUCACUGACGUGCUAGCGUUCGGACUGGGAGGUAUAGUGUGCCGUUCACCCGACCAGAACUGUUUUGAAAACCUCUUCAAAUGCACUUCAUUCGCUUCCACCCCGACAAUCUGCGAAGACUAGGAGGCCGGUGAGCCUUUCACCACAUCUACCACAGGUAGGAGGUUCGUUGCCAGUAAGCAGAAAAUUAACGUCAAAAGUGCUCCAUACACUGGAUGCCACCAGUGGACUGGAAGGAAGCGCUGGCACGGCAGACCCCCCACUGGGUUCCACAUCAGCUGCCUAGAGCUCCCUUGUCACAUCUUUCAGCCAGAUCAUCUGACCAGAAGCCUGAUAACUGUGGCUUUAAAGCGCGGAUCAAGAAACAUGGCCAGGCUGGCCACUUCGCCAUAUUCACA